rnacentral:tRNA from 1 species
UCCCUGGUGGCUCAGAUGGUAAAGCAUCUGCCUAUAAUGCCUAACAUGCAGUAGACCCAGGUUCAAUCCCUGGGUUGGGAA